GGCAGAAGGGGCAGGAAGGGAGGUCAUAGCAAGGGGGAAGUGACAGGGACAAGCAUGACGGGGCGGACUCAAUAGGGGCGGAAUAUCGUAAGCGGGCAGGGAAGGAAUGCUGGGGCGAGGGAAAACAAUGAUUCAUCCGCUCUAAGGACAGGGAACAUAUGGGCAGGGGCUAGUGACUGUGGACACUGGCAAUUGGGUGGAGGUCAUGGGGACAGGACCAACC